GCAAACUUGGUCAUUUAGAGGAAGUAAAAGUCGUAACAAGGUCUCCGUAGGUGAACCUGCGGAGGGAUCAUUCCCGAAGGGCCCCUCUGGGGCCUUUGACCCACAAACCACCGUGUGGAUCUUAGAUGUGGUUCGGCGCCCCUGUCUCUCGCAGGCGGUGACGUCGUGCUUAUGCGUAACUUUGGUUCUGCGUCUGAUUGAAAAGCAUAUGAGUGAAAACUUUCAACAAAGGAUCUCUUGGCUCUUGCAUCGAUGAAGAACGCAGC
rnacentral:misc_RNA from 1 species